GCGCCGGUAGCUCAGCUGGAUAGAGCACCAGACUACGAAUCUGGGGGUCAGGAGUUCGAAUCUUCUCCGGCGCGCCA
rnacentral:tRNA from 2 species